rnacentral:lncRNA from 1 species
CUUGGUGUCUCCGGGCCCCGCCGGGCCGCUCUAGGGAGGAGGAGGCGAGAAGAUGGCGGACGACCCCAGUGCUGCCGACAGGAACGUGGAGAUCUGGAAGAUCAAGAAGCUCAUUAAGAGCUUGGAGGCGGCCCGCGGGUGAGCGCCGCGUCCGGCCCCCCCGUGCCCUCUUGGAUCCCGGACCCCUCAGGAUGGCCGCCCCCGCGCCGCAUGGCCGGAUGAGGAGAACCCGGCACUAGCCAACUCCCGCCUUCUGGACUUCUGGGUAGUAGCCUCUGACUCAGGGGCGAGGGUCGGAGCUGUUGGCCGGAGAAGGGGUCUUUCCCCCCCUUGGGGGUAAGGGGCCUGCGCUCCCUGGGCUCAGACCAUGCGACCCCCCCUCGUGAUAAGCCACUACUACUUUUGUACCCCUCUCAGGCCCUUAAGACCUGCUCCUCACUCUUCAGGCUCCAGGUGCUGACACCAGACUCGACUGCUUUUGGGGAAAAGUACUUGGCUUUCCUUUCCGAACGUCCUUCCCUGGUUUCCUCCCUUCACGUUCUUCAGCCAGGCCUUAUUAAAAUGGCCUCCCCCUCUUGGACUUUAAGGCCCGGGUGAAGUUUGGAUGGGGCGAGAAGGAGAGGUGGACAGGGACAUCCUCAUUCUAGCUCCUUAUGAUUUCUGAGGGUCUCCCACCUCUCCCAGGAUGAGUUCCUUCAAGUCCUCUAAUUAUCCUGGAGCUUCCUGGUUUCUAGCUGUUCCAGGACCCGCCUAUAAACUGAAAAUGCCAACGUGUGCAGCAUGGGGGAGUGGGGGCUGCUUUUGGUUGACAAACCUAUAUGUGUAUAUCCAGGAGAAUUCCGGAUAGUGGGACUAUUUGAUAUGGUCCAUAAUAAUAGAGUUCCUGUUGACCUUCCGGUGGAACUUCUUAUGAUAUCACUGUAGAGGGUGCUUGUUGAAAUUCAGAACUGAAUUAAGUGAACUUCUUGUCUCCUGUUUUUAAGUUUUAGUAAGAAACUUUAGGUGUAUCCAUUCUGAGAAGAGUAAACUAGAUUAAGAUUAGCCUUUUUUUUUUUCUUUUUUUUAAUAUUGCUCAUUUGAGGAAGGUGCCAGAGUAUUCCUGUUUCCUCACUUCCUGGCUUUCCCAGUCAUAGAAAGUUUUUACUUACCGGAAGUGGCCCCCAAAAGUGGAACAUUACAUAUUCUUAAAUCUCUGCAUUCUUAGAUUAGCAUAGUGGUUUUGUCCCAGGACUUUGGAAAGUUGAUUUCAGCACAAGAAUUGGAGUUUCUGGUUUUCAGCUCAUGCUUGUCAUUGGCAUUGCAUUUGCAGUGAUAGGAUGAAUAUCAGAUUUACUUAUUAAUUUUUAUGGGAAUUUGUACUACAAUAGAAGAAAAAAAAUAAUUCCCAAAAUGUAAAAGAGUAAUGUAGGUCAUGAGCCAUUAUGAUGCCAAGUACUUUUUUGUCACUAGGAUUUUCUGUCAUGUUACUUGAAGCCUUCAGUUGUAUAUUGAUUUUUGUAGAGUGUUGUUUAAAGUAUUUGUUCUUUUUGUUUGGAGGAAGAUUCACAUUAUAUUCUCUGAAGCAGUCUAAAAUAUGAAUUUAUUACUAAUCGGCCUGUUGUCUGAGUGAAGUAACAUUGAUAAUGCUGCUUAAUAAGUAACAAUAUUCCUUUCUACUCUUUGAUGAAGAAAGCUUAUUCUUAAAUUUGUUCCUAAGCAUGUCACCUAGCCACUUGAAAGUUAUAAGUACCUCCUUUUAAAGGUUUGAAGGCUUUACUAAACUCUUUGUUUAGUAAAGUUUGAAGCAUGCUAAAAAAUGAAGCUAUUAGGCACAGCUCUUCUUCCAAGUGGUAGUUUGAACAUUUUAGACAUGAUUAAACUGUCUAAAAUAGUAGGGACUCUUCCUCUAAACAGUGUGGUUAAUGAUCAUGUCCUGUUUGCUUCUAGUCAGGCUUUGGUUGCAUCUUGAUUCCAUGAAAACUUAAAAUCUUAGCCAUUUCUCAUGUUGGUUAGGGAGUCAAGUUUGUUCUGUGACUCACAAGGUUCCUGGUAUAUGUCGUUUUCUCAUGGGAAACAAAAAUAUUGUAUUUUCAAUUCUUUUUUGUGUUAAAGUCAAACUCUAGUUUUUCAUAGUGUAUAGUGAGAAAUGUUUUUCUUCUUUACCUAAAGUUAAAUAUUUUAGGAGUAAUUGUAAUGAGCUAUAAAGACAAACUGAGUCAAUCCAUGUGUGCUGGUGUCUGCGGGGCUACCGUGUAGCUUUCAGGAGAAAAUGGGUUGUGUUAAAGCAUGUUUAUUAGCACAAGACGGUGAAAUUUAGUGGUGGGUUAACAGAAUGUAAAAAUGACUUCUCCAACGGUAUAGAAUUCUGAACAUGAGAAUCAGGAAUUAGUUCAUUUUUAACAUUUCUAAGAUAUGAGUGUUAUUCUGAAAUUUAGAUAAUAAAUGAUUAUCUUUUGAUAUAUGACCCAAACAUAGUGUAGCUUAAAAAGAACCACCUGCAAGAUGAUACAUUAGAACAGAAUGAGGUAUCUAGAUAAAAUAAUUUAUUGAGCACUUAGUAUAUUACACUGUUUUUAAAAAUACAUUGUAUCAUUCACAACAAUAAAUACUGCCACCAUUUGAUAGACAAGGAAACAGACUGAGAAGUUAGAUAACUUGCAGUCCAUAAUGUCAUAGAGUGAUAAUGUAUAAUAGUCCAGCACUUGAACCAGUGUGCUCUACUGGAUAUAUUUUAUGUUUUCCAAAAUAUGAAAGUCUGGAUUUAUUCAACAUAAUCUGAACUAUAACAGACUGUGUUAUGCCUGUGGAAGAACAUUUAUAAAGGCGACGUUUCUGAAAUGGGAAACUUUGCUAACAUUCUCAUAGUAUUAUACUUAAUACGAUUUUUUUAAGUUGGGUGGAACAUACUUUAUUUUGGUUUUAUAUAAGUAUGAUUGAAUGUUAGUCUAUAUUGACAAGUAAAAUAACCAGCCAGCUCUUUUGCUAAACAUAAUCCUCACUUAAAGUUGAUGGUAGUUUUUCCCUACUUAUGAUUGUUCCUGGUAUAUUCUUCACAGUUGGCGUAUGAGGACAAAUGUGUACAUAGCCUGGGAAUAGGGCCAUGUGAGUUGAACCGUCCUUGGUUUCAAAUAAGGAACUAAAGCAGGUGAACAUGUCACAAGAAAGUUAGGUACGGAUUUCUGGUUGUUUUUGUUUCCCCUGAUGUUUUCUAAGCAAGCAAGAGGUAGCCCCAGAAAUGGUUUGGAAGCUUUAUAGUUUAUGUAAUAAAAUAACCAAAGCCUCAUCUAAUCAAUGGUCAUGAGGAAUGUGACAAGGAAAAAUAUGGUGUUAGUUUGGGUUAUGUCUGUAGAUCUUAGAAUAUUUUUCACUUAUCUUCAUGAAGAAAUCUUGCAUAUUUCAAGUAUAAACUUAUUGAGGCAUAAUUUGGUUUUUUUAAUUCCUCAAUAUUCUUGGAGAGCUGAUUUUUAACUAAAGUAAUACCCUGGGCUGGGCGUUAGUUUAGCAGUAGAAUACAUGCAUAGCAUGCAUAAGGCCCUGGGUUUGAUACAAUCCCCAGCACUGCCAAAAAUUAUAAUACCUUUUAAGGGAUACCUUGUAAUCUUUCAUAUAGAUAAUUGAACUAUUCAGUGUUUGGGUUUUUGUUUGUUUAUUGUUUGUUUGUUUGUGCUGGGGAUUGAACCCAGGGGUGCUAAAUAACUGACCCACAUUCCCAGCCCUUUUAAUUUUUUGAGACAGGGUCUAGUAAGUCCUUAGGGCCUCACUAAGUUGCUGAGGUUGGUCUCAAAUUGUGAAACUCCUGCCUCAGCCUCCCAAGCUGCUGGGAUCAGGUUUUUAAAGAAGUUUUUGUUGUUUUGUGGUGGGGAUUGAUACACCCAGGGGAUCAAUCCUCCCACCUCAGCCUCUUUGAGUCGCUGUGAUUAUAGGCAUGCACCACCACACCUGGCUUAACAAAGACUUCAGCUCUUCCUUCUGUAUCCUAGAAUCUCUGAGAUUACAAGCAAGAGGACUUUUUUAUCCUUGGUUCUUGCUCCUUCCAUCUUCCACCCCCAUCUCUGAUGGGAUAAAAGACCACUGAGAGAAAACUCAACAAUUAGAAUGUUUAAAAGUUUCUCCAAAAGAGAUGAGACUUCAGAGGUCUUAGUGGCCCCAACUACCUAUUUGACCUAUAGCAAGUUAUUCUUUCAAAGCUUUGGUUUUCACGCUUAACUAUGAACAAUAUCUUGGAUUAGGUGGUAACAGUCAAUGUGAUAUGGGUUUAAAAGUCAAAUACUACAUUUAUCCCAUAGAGUGUUCUGCAAAUGUUAAUUCUCUCCUUUGUGUACACAAAUACUGAGCCUUUAGAAAUAGAAGCCAGGUACAGUUGCACAAGCCUGUAAUUCCAGCUACUCAGGAGCCUAAGGACUGAGGAUUGUAAAUUUGAGGCCUGCUCUGGCUGCUUAGUGAGACCUUGUCUUUAAAAGGACUGGAGUUAAGUGCUGCGGCAUGCCUGUUCAAAGCCAGCCCUAGCAACUUAGGCCCUAAGCAACUCAAUAAGACCCUAUCUUAAAAUAAAAUACACAAAAGGUCUUGGGGGUAAGACUCAGUGGUUAAGUGCCCCUGGGCACUCAACCCCUAAUACGGGGCGGGGGGGGGGGGGGGAGAAGGUCUAGGGAUGUGGCUGAGUGGUAGAUCACCCCUUGGUUCAUUUCCCAGAACCAGAAAAAAAUUAUAAAAGAAUUGUUAAGGGGUAAGGAUACAAAUACCACCAGCAGAUCUGAGCCAUGAGAAAAGAGGUGAUAAAAGGAAGAGGGAGAUCAGAGUAUAUAUAAUGGGAUGUGUUGGUGUUCCUCAGUCUUCACAAGUGUCAUAGGCUUCCUGUCUCAACUUAGAACUAGUUGUAACAGCUGUAGUAUUUUGGCUUGGUGUUCUGUGCAUUGUGGACUUAGGGAACAAUCACUCUUUGAAUUUCAAGUCUUGACAAACUUCUCAUUGUAAUAGCAGAUACACUUAUCCUUCCAGGGAACGAUGGCAUUCUCUGAACACACACUAGGUAAAGCAAGAAUAACUAAUUAGAAUACCAUUUAAAGCAGAGUACAUUGUAGGUUACAAGCUUGUCCUGCCCCCUGCCUCCACCAGUUGGAUCCUUUUCGGGUGGUGGGGGGGGAGGCUGUUUUUCUCCAAAUUUGGGAUUGAAGUUAUGCUCAGCAUAGACCCCCUAUCCUGGAAAGAUGUGUGGUUGUGAAAAAAAACUUAAAUUUUGAGAUUUGCAGGACUAAAUGGUCUUAGAUCCUAUUUGAAGAAUAGGAAGGACAGAAGUUUCUUCUGAGUUCAGCCUAUUCUCUAGGGAUCUCAGAAUAGAACCUUCUCCUGGGAUACAUUCUAUAGCUGUCUCUCCAUUUUUCAGCCUACUAUCUUAGGGUAAAAAGAGAUUAAGAUUUUUCACCAUGUUAGAAAUUAUGAAUGUGAGGUUUCUCACUUGGGCUGUGUCCUCAGCAUGAUUAAAAUGCCUCUGAAAACAGCUUUAUUUUAUGCUCUUUGACAUACUUAAGAUUUGACGUUUUCAGGUACCCAGCAAUUGAUUCUUACCAUGCAUAUAACUUGCAUGCUAGAACCAUAUUUAUUUCAUAUUUCAUUUGAUCUUCUAAUUUCUCCUUUAGAAAAAAUUAUCAUAGUCAAAAGGUUCUCUUUCCUGCUAUGUCUAGGUUUGACUUUGUAGUGCUGGGGAUCAAGCCCAGGAUUUUGACACAGGGCCUCACUAAGUUGCUGAGGCUGGCUUUGAACUUGGAAUCCUCCUGCCUUGACCUCCCGAGUCCCUAGGAUUACAGGCAUGCUCUACCAAGCCCAGCACUAUAAAUGUAUUCUUACUACUGACCAGUGAACCAACAGGAUUCAUCAAACAUCUGCUCUUAGUUGGGCUAGACAUUUUGAAAGAAGUGUGUAAUAAAAUGAGAACAUGGUCAGCUACACAUCCCUAUAAUAAUGAUAUAGCCAGUAUAUGUUGAAGAGGUUUAGUAUAAGCAGAUGAUUAGGAUCUUGAAUGAGGUGUUAGACAUUGUAAAAAAGGAAAAGAGACUGUGUAGCUACUCGGGCAAAAUUUAACAAUUUCCUAGGCAAGGCAAGUGUCAAAGAAUGUUACUUAGAUGUUAGUAUUAUUGGACUGAUACAGUGUCUUUGAUACAGCAGUAAAGUAGAGCUAUACCUGAUCUGCAACUUUAAAAUUGUAAUUCAUUCUUUUUUGGUCCUAGGGGUGUACCCAGAGCUGCUUGCUAAUAAGCACAUGUUCUACCAUUGAGCACACCCCCAGCCCUUUUUCAUUUUGAGAAAGGGUCUAAGUUGCCCAAGCUGGCCAUGAAUUUGUGAUCCUUCUGCCUCAGCCUUCUGAAUAGCUUGGAUUACAGACAUGUGCCACUGUGCCUGGUACUAAUGUUUCUGAUAUUUUUACUGAAGAGCUUUGGUUUACCUAUGUUCUGAUAUUUGUGGUAUUUUAGGGUCUAACUCAGGAAAGAUGCAGAUUUAGAGAUUUAGUUUGAGAUGUGUUUUUGUGCUGGGAAUUGAACUCUGCACAUGCCAAGUGCACAUUGUACCACUAAGCUACACCCACAGCCCUGAGAUACAUUUUUUAAAAUAUUUAUUUAUUUUUUUUAGUUUUCCGCAGACACAACAUCUUUGUUUGUGGUGCUGAGAAUCGAACCCGGGCCGCACACAUGCCAGGCGAGCGUGCUACCUCUUGAGCCACAUCCCCAGCCCCCUGAGAUUAUUUUAAUCAAGUAAUAAAACUACUUUUCCAAAGAUAAGUAAAUGAGCCAGGUGUGGUGUACAUGCCUAUAAUCCCGGUGGCACGGAGGCUGAAGCAGGAGGAUUGCAAAUUCAAAGCUAGCAUCUGCAACAGCAAAGCCCUAAGCAACUUAGACUGUUUCAAAAUCUAAAAAGGCCUGGGGAUGUAGCUCAGUGGUUAAGCACCCCUGGGUUCAAUCCCUAGGGGUAGGGGAGGGAUAAAUAAAUGAGUAACAUACAUUUUUGACUCCUUAUAACAGAUGUAUGAGGGAAGAUAUUGCCGUUUCAUGGUUGGAGAAUAUGAAGUAUAGAAAGAGUAGGUAGCUGCCUAGUAUCACAGCCUAGUGAGAGGCAGUGUCAUAUUCUUCUAUUCCCGCUUUUCCAGUUUCAAAGCCUGUGCUUCUACUCCCUAUCGCUCUUUGUCAGGUAUUUCUUUUGCUGAAUGGAAACAUCCUCCCAUUCUCUUUUGAAAGGAGGACUUUUGUCUAAGGAGAUUUAUAAUUUUCUAGAGGGAGCAGGUGUGCUGAGAUUCAGGAACAAGAUAAAAGGAAAACAGGCAUGCCAUUUGUACAUCUUCCUUAGAAAGAACUUGAAUACCAAACAUGUUUACUCUUAAUGAGCAUUGGUGAUGAGGGAAAUAACUUGUGGCUGCACUGGAUGUUCAUUUGUAUAUAUUUUUUUUUUCUUUUAAUAUUUAUUUUUUAGUUAUCGGCGGACACAACAUCUUUGUUUUGUAUGUGGUGCUGAGGAUAGAACCUGGGCCGCACGCAUGCCAGGAGAGUAUGCUACCUCUUGAGCCACAUCCCCAGCCCCAUCAUUUGUAUAUUAAAAAGGUGAUUAAUGAGAAGGCUGUGACUUUGGGUUUAUUUGAAAAGUAGUUCGGUAGGGUCGUGGCUCAGUGGUUAAGCACUUGCCUUACAUGCCUGAGGCACUGGGUUUGAUCCUCAGCACCACGUAAAUAAAUAAAACAAAGAUAUAGUGUCCAUCUACAACUAAAAAAAAAUGUUUAAAAAAAAUAUAUGACUCUAUCACAGGGUCCAAUGUAGAACUCUGGUAGUAAGUCCCUAAUGUUGUUUGUGAUUGCUGUUUCCUGGCUUUGCACUGUUGUGAGAAAACUAAAGGAAAUUUUCAGCUUCUGCUGCUCCCUGGUGGAAUAUUCCACUAGUUUACUUUUAUGAAGUUCUUUUAGUAAAUGCCUAUAACUAUAGAAAAAGUAAUACUCUACCAGAUGUUACAUUUUUAUUUUAGAUGACUGAGUAAUUUUUGUGCUUUUGAGGGUAGAACACUAAAAUGGUAUUUGCAAACUUUCUGCUGAAAUACUGGGAAAUUUGAGCUAUUCUGUACCUGAGACAGAAGGCUGCUUUAAUGUUUCAGUAAGUUCAAAUCUUGAUAUUUCUCCCAUCUGGCGGUAGUAUCUGGUCAAUUGACAAACCAAUUUCAGAUAACUGGAACGGGAACAGAAUACUCCCUUCUACAUGCUAUUUUAACCAAGUUGUUUUUAUAAAAGGCAGCCCCAUCUACCUCCUGACCUUCCUCAUUGAUAAUUGCAGAAUAGGGGUGGGGUGACAUUAUAGUGAGAAUUCGCAAAAUAAAAAACACUGUUAGAAGUGAUGGUUUGAGCUUUUUAAUGAAGCGAAUCUGGGGACAGUGAGUUAUUUUUAAGGCACGUGUGUGUUCCUUUGCAAGGAAUAGAGGCAGGGGUUGUUUUUUAUGACCCGUUAUCACUAUGUUGCUUGAGUUUGCCUUGAACUUGCAGUCCUCCUAUCUCAGCUUCUGGAAGAGCUGGGAUAAUAGGAAUGCACCAGCAUGGAGUGGCAGACUUUUAAUUGAUGUUUUAUUUGGUAGUUUAGACUAAAUUUCUGGGGUCUGCUUUAUAAAACAGUAUAUAGAGAGCUAGGGAUGUAGCUUAAUGGUAGCGUGCUUGCCUAGCCACGUGUAAGGCACUGGGGUUUGAUCCUCAGCACCACAUAAAAAUAAAUAAAAUAAAGGUAUUGUGUUCAUCUACAAAUAAAAAUACCUAAAAAGGAAAAAGAAGACCCUAGUUUUGUUAGGAAUUUUUUAUUCCUCAAAUGUUUAAGCACCAUUAUGUCCUAAAAUUUCUGCUGUCAAGAAGCUUAUGUAGAUGCAGUAUGAUCAGUGUUUCUUCUGUUUUUUUUUUUGUUUUGUUUUGUUUUGUUUUUGUUGUUUAUACAGGGAGUUGAACCCAAAGGCUCUCAACCUCUGAGCCAUAUCCCCAGUAUUUGAUUUUUUUUAUUUAUUUAUUUUUAUUUAUUUUUUUUUUUUUUUGAGACAGGGUCUCACUAGGUUGCUUAGGACCUCAUUAAAUUGCAGAAGCUGGCCUGCCUCAGCCUCCCAUUUUGCUGGGAUUACAGGCAUGGAUUGCUGUGCCUGAUGCAAUGUAUUUUUUCAUUCUUUGAUACUUGAUGGAAAAGAAAACAAAUAUGAGGCUUCUUUGAAGUGACUGAUGCACAAAUAGAAAUUAACAGGACCUUGGUUAUAUCAAAAUACUGAGCUCAAGCCAUAAAUGUAGAAUAAGGACACUGAAGAUUUUAUAGCUAUUUUAAAGGAAAGGAAUCUCUUGUUCUCCCAUCCCGUAAAGGUAGCUACUAUCUACCACAAAGUCAACUCUUACCUCUUUCUUUGGGCUUACCCAAAUUCAGAUAAGACUUCAGCACCACCUGACAUUACUCUCCUCCGCCUCCCAUUUCUAGUUGUGCAGUAAUAUUUCUUUUUUUACUUUUACUGUUACCAAGCUGGGUGAGGGAGGUAAAGAGUUAGAGCUUCAUCAUUGUCAUUUAGUGAUCUUCUGGUAUCUCCAAUGGGGUAUUGGGGAUUUAACCCAUGGGUACUUUACCACUGAGCAAUAACCCAGUCCUUUUUAUUUUUAGACAGGGUCUCACUAAGUUGCUGAGGCUAGCCUUGAAUUUGUGAUCCUCCUGCCUCAGCCUCCCAGGUUGUUAGGGUUUCAGGUAUGCAUGCACCACUGCACCAAACCUUGUUUUUCUUUUUUGCAUUAUUGAUGAUUAAAUUCAAGACCUCAUACAUUCCAGGCAAGCACUCUGCUACUAAGCUCCACCCUGCCUUUUUUUUUUUUUAUUUUUUUGUUUUGAGACAGGGUCUUGCUAAGUUAUCUAGAGGUUGCCUUCAAAGCUGGGAUUGCAGGUAUGCACAACCAUGCCUGACCUUCAUGACCUUGUGAAAUAAGUAGAUACAGAGACCCACAGAGAUUUAUAUAAUUUGCUUUAGGUCACAGAAUAACAAUAGGAGUUCUGGUGCUGUAGUGGUGGAGCACCUCCUUCGCACACAUGUGAGGCACUGGGUUUGGUCCUCAGCACCACAUAAAAAUAAAUAAAUAUAUUGUGUCAUCUACAACUAAAAAUAACAAUAGGACGUGAGCCUGAAUGUUCAUGAUUCUAAAACCUGUAUUCCUCCUAGUCUGUUCCCAUAUUUAACCUAUAUCUUGAUUGUCUUGGUUUAAAAGUUUAAACUUAGUUUUGCACAAUUAGGAGAAGAGGUAAAAAGAUAGAAAACCUACAGUGAAUCAAAUAAGGACGACUUGAAAAUGGAGUAGAAGUUGGAGGGGGAUUGAUUUGAUUUUUGUUUUGAGUUGAACUUUGUGGGACAGGAGUAAAUGUGAGUUUGGAAGAGGGAAUGGUGAAAACCUUGUUCAUCCAUAUCCUAGGCACAACCAAAUUAUUGAACAUUGGAAUGAAAGCUUCUUAAGGUGCCUCUACUCUAAUUUUUAAUUUGGGAUUUGGGUAAGGAGUCUGAAAUGUUCCUGCAUAUGAGUCAUUGCUGUACCCCAUGAUUCACUGACUUCUUGGUGAGAGUCUUUGGAUUUUGGAAAAGAAAAAUGACAGCAGAAAAUGGAGGAAAAUUUAAGGUUGCAGUUUGCCUUUGUAGCAAGCAGCUCUGUAGAGCUUUAUAUAUUUCUCCUCUGAGAGGUAUUGGCUCUACUCGAAAUAUUGAGCUUCCUUGACUUUAUUUUUGUGUUUACACAAACUGGUCUAACAACUUUGAUUGGUUUGCCUGGGGGAUAAAAGCAUGUUUAUCUUGUUUGAAAAUUUUCCUAAAAUUUCUGAUCUUCUUGUAUUAAAACAAAAACAUAAACAGUAGAUGUUAUUAAAAUAGCCUUUAAAUUUUAAAAGAAACCAUAUAUUUAAUAAUCUGCAUUUCUCCCAGUCAAUGUCUUAUAAUAAAGGUGAAUUCAGAAACUUUAAGGUUUUCAACACAGAGUAGGGAGAGGCAUGCAGAGAAAGUAAUGAAAGGUAGUUUUGUGCCUAAAAUUCAAAAUUCUGAGAGUCCAAGACUUUAGCAACUUGGUAGAAACCUACCAAACAAAAAAGUUCUUAUUAGUUACAUUUCUGAAUCCAUUUUAAAAAUGGAAUCUAUAACAAGAUCAUGUCCUUAGGUGUAUUCACUACUUUGUCCUCUCUGAAGUGUUAAUUGGAUGUGAGUAUAUGGCCUCCCAACUGUAUUAUAUAGUAAAGUUGCUUAAUGGAUGUUUAUCUUCUUAACCUAUCUGCAGUAGGAAGUAAAUAGCUGCUUAUCUUUUUUUUUUUUUUUUAAGUUGAUAGAACCCGGUGCCUCACACUAGCCAGGCAAGUGCACUACCACUGAGUCCCAGCCCUAAUAGCUGCUUAUUAUCUAAGAUCUUUGCUGUGCACUCCAUAUCAUUAUCUUGCUUUAAGGAUUGCCUUUAGGCAUUUUUGGGUUCACUCAAUUAAUUUGUCCCAACCUUCUCUUUAGCCUGAAAGUUUCCAAUCCUUUGCGGUUUGGUGCCUGUUCUCACCUCAACUCUUAGCCUUCACCCCUGCCAUUCUUAGAGCCCCUUCUCAUUCCAUUCCUUAUUGAUUGCCUCUUUGCCAGUUCCAUCUCCUAGGAAACUAUUUUGUAAAUCAGAGAAUGUUCGCUUUAAAAAAAAAAAACUGAGCCCUUAAGAAAGAAUUCCCUUGGUCCCUACAGUUUCCAAGAGCCCCUAGGGUGGUAAUGUAUACCCCCUUUAGAAUCUUUUAUCAGAAAACAAUCACAAGCCAGUAAAGCUGGUAUUAAAACUUUUUUUGUCUUCUUCAUUUUGCCAUCUUGUAUCUUUUCAUGUUCUUGUGUGUAUAAGUUGACAUAGAAAAUACGUGGCACUUGCAGUCUAGACUGGUUUGGUUGUCGUUGCUGUUGUUUAGGUGUUGGGGAUUGAACCUAAGCUUCACCCCAUGCCAAGCAUACACUCUGCCACUGGGCUACUUACUCCUCCAGCUCCCAAACCAGACUUUUUUGGUACUGGGAAUUGAACCAGGGGUGCUUUAGCACUGAACUACAUCCCUUUUUAUUAUUUUGAGAUAGGGCCUCUCUCAGUUUCUGAGGCUGGCUUUAAACUUGAUCCUCCUGCCUCAGCCUCCCAAGUCACUGGGAUUACAUCACCCUACCCAGUGAUGUCGUGGUCCCCAGACCAUUUUUUUGUUUGUUUGUUUUUGUUUUCAGUACCAUAGAUUGAACUCAGGGGCACUCAACCACUGAGUCACAUCCCCAGCCCUAUUUUGUAUUUUAUUUAGAAACAGUGUCUCACUUCAUUGCUUAGCACCUUGAUUUUGCUGAGGCUGGCUUUGAACUCGAGAUCUCCCCAAACCACUGGGAUUACAGGAAUGCACCAUUGUGCCUGUCUCUGAAUCAUUUUUUUAGGUUAAAUUUGCUUAUUCAAUAUUUCCAGCCUCAGAAAAUUCCUUUUCUACUCCUUAGUCUACAGAGUUUACAUAAAACUACAGAAAGGUAUUUUUGGCAAUUUGGUUUUAGAAGCAUAUACCAAGUGUGAUGAGAGCUGAAGCUGUUUAUCAUAAAUUUCCUUGAUUCCCUGGUUUGGCUGGAAUACUUGCUCCCAUAUCCAAGGGGUGGCAGCAAAGUACACACCAUACUCUCCACAUUUAUUGGCUUUUAUCCAAUUCGUAGAUUAUUGGGAAUUUUUUCAUAAAGUUUAUUAUAAACAAGCCUUCUUGGUUUUAAGCAAACACUGCUGGUUUUGGAGAUGUUGCUUGAACUCACAAUCUGGAAGUAACCAUUUUUGAUAGUGAAAAGGAUUUGAUAAGCAAAUUGCCUGCUUGUAAAUAAAACUCUGUCUAGAGGACUUGUAGAAUUUACUGCUAGGAAAAAAACAUCCUGGGCAAGGUCUUCUGGAAAUGCAAUCCCUUUUGAGGGAAGGAGGGUAAUUUGGGAUGGAACUCGGGGGCACUGGACCACUGAGCCACAUCCCUAGCCCUAUUUUGUAUUUAUUUAGACAUGGGGUCUUACUGAGUUGCUUAGCACCUUUCUUUUGCUGAGUGUGACCUUGAACUUGCAAUCCUUCUGCCUCAGCCUCCCAAAUUGCUGGGAUUACAGGUGUAGCCACUGUGCCCAGCUGCAGUAAUAAAGUUAAAUAAGGGAGCCUGCCAUGGCAUGGCUGCUUCAGAGGCCAAGGCAGGAGAAUCACAAAUUCAAGGUCAGCCUGGGCAAUUUAGCAAGACCCUAAACAAUAAAGAGCUGGAGAUGUAACUCAGUGGUAGAGUACCUGGGUUCAUUCCACAGAACUGUUUAAAAAAGGAGAGCCAGGUGUGGUGGUGCACACCCAUGAUCCCAGCAGUUUGGAAGGCUGAGGUUGAUGGUUGUAAAUUCAAAUCAGCCUCAGUAAUUUAACUAUGCCCUAAGUAACUCAAUGAGACCCUGUCUCAAAAGGGAUGGAGGGGUGCAGCUCAAGGAAUGUGGUUGAGUGCCUCUAGGUUCAAUCCCCAGUAACAAAAAAAAAAAAGGAGAAAUGUUUGCUUUUUGUUUUUAUUCCCCUUACCCCCUCACAGUCCCUCUUCUCUUUAUUUAUUAUUAUUUUUAUUUUUUUAUUUUAAUAUUUAUUUUUUAGUUGUAGUUUGGGACACAGCACCCUUGUUUAUUUUUAUGUGGUGCUGAGGAUCGAACCCAGGACCUUUCAAGACUGGCAUAUUGGGCUACUGUGAAAAUACACAAGCUCAGUAAUUAGUGAUAAAGCUUAAACAUUCUGGCAGUCUUCCCAAUUUAAUGUGUCUUGAUUUGACCCCACCAAUUCCCCCAUGACACUAAUAAUUAUAUAAGUAUGAAACUCGCUAUAGUCUUUAAGGACCUGAUCUAUAAGGAUCUCAAGAAGUAACUUUCUGGGGCUGGGGAUGUGGCUCAAGAGGUAGCGCGCUCGCCUGGCAUGCGUGCGGCCCGGGUUCGAUCCUCAGCACCACAUACAAACAAAGAUGUUGUGUCCGCCGAUAACUAAAAAAUAAAUAUUUAAAAAAAAUUCUCUGUCUCCCUCUCUCACUCUCUCUUUUAAAAAAAAAAAGUAACUUUCUUACAGACUCACACUGAAGUAUCACAGUUUGUAAAAUGACGUCACAAUUUUUUAAAAUAUUUAUAUUUUUAGUUGUAGUUGGACACAAUACCUUUGUUUUAUUUAUUUAUUUUUAUGUGGUGCUGAGGACGAACCCAGGGCCUCACACAAGCUAGGCCCUGAGGGCUGCUCUACCACUGAGCCACAACACAACCCCAGCCCAUAUUGUCACAUUUUUUAACAUGCUUUGGUUCAUAUCAGAUCAGACUUGAUUCCUUGAAAGUGUAAAUCCUCUCAGUUUAUACUAAUAGCUAUUGUGAUAAAUAAAGCUAGCCUCUUUUCCUGGUCAGGGCAGCUUUGGGAAUUAAUUUUCAAUGUAAUAUAGUUUUCUUUAUAUACAGCAUUGGUAAUUUAAUGAGCACAUUUCUCAGGAAAACACUUUGAGGGGCUGGGAUUGUGACUCAAGAGAGUGCUCGCCUAGCAUGCGUGAGGCACUGGGUUCAAUCCUCAGCACCACAUAAAUAUAAAAUAAAGACAUUGUGUCCACCCAUAACUAAAAAAUAAAUAUUAAAAAAGAGAGCAAUGUCUUAUGUACUGUUGUCUUUCCCAUAGUUUUUUUGUUUUGUUUUUAGUUGGACACAAUACUUUUAUUUUGUUUACUUAUUUUUAUGUGGUACUGAGGAUCGAACCCAGGGCCUUGCAUGUGCUAGGCAAGCACACCACCACUGAGCCACAUCCCCAGCCUUUAAAUACUCUUUAGUUGUCAAUGGGCCUUUAUUUUAUUUAUUUUUAUGCAGUGCUGAGAAUGGAACCCAGUGCCUCACACAUGGUAGGCAAGCACUCUACCACUGAGCCACCAACCCAUCCCCCAUAUAUAUAUUCUUUAAUGGUAAUUUUAUUAAGAUUUAAUUUACAUGCCAUAAAACUUAUCCCCUUUAAAAUUCUCAGUACACUAAUCUUUCAGAGUUAUGCAACCAUCACCAUUAAUUUUAAAAUAUUUCCAUCAACCUGGAAAUAAACCACAUACACAUAUCCUUUAAUAAUCACACCCUGUUCCUUCCUCUCCCCAUCCCCUGGCAACCACUAAUCUACUUUCUGUAUCUAGAUUGCCUAUUCUGGACAUUACGUAUUUAAAUAGAACUGUACAAUAUGUGAUCUUUUGUGACUGGUUUUACUUAUUAUAAUGUAAAUAAAAUCAUUGGGGGGUUUUUUGCUGCUGAAUAAUAAUCCAUUGUAAUUUUUUAUUUUUAUUUUUUGUAGUUGUAGAUGAACAGAAUGCCUUUAUUUUAUUAAUUUUUUAUGUGGUGCUAGGCAAGCGCUUUGCCACUAUAAUCCAUUGUAUUUUUAUACCACAUUUUGUUUAUCCAUUCAUUCUUCAGAUUUGUGGGUUUCUACUUUUUUACUGUUAAGAGUAAUGCCUCAGGGCUGGGGAUAUAGCUCAGAUGGUAGAGUGCUUUCCUCACAUGCACAAGGCUCUGGGUUCAAUGGUUUGCAAAUAUUUUCUCCCAUUUCAUAGUUUUGUCUUUUUACUUUCUUUCUUUUGGUCUCAUAAUUUGGAUAGUGUAAAUUCUAGUGCUGUCAUCAAAGCACUUAGGGUGCUAAGUUAUUGUUUAAAAAUGUUCAAGGCAAGCUUGGAAUUUAGAGGAUAAUAAGUGGAAUUUUGUCUAGACUUUGGAAAGACUUAUUGUACUGUCCUGGCAUAGUGUCUCCCACUGAAAAGCCCCAGAUUCUAAGUCUCUGCCAUGCAAAGGCCUACUUACAGCUUCUUUCUUCAUCUUCGGGGAAAUAACUUGUUUGGCAAGCAUCCCCUUCAAGUGCCUUCCUCACAUGGCUAAUCUUACUCAGUAUUCAUUCAAAUAAUUAAACACUUUCAGUGUGAGCCAGUAUAUUACUAGUAUAGUCCUUGUCACAUUGAGAAUAACAUUUCUAUAAUUACUUAAGGGCAGCUCACCCUAACUUGUGUAAAUUCUGCUUUAGUGGUCUUUGAACCUCUAAUGAGUUAUUCUUUCUUUCACAGCAAUGGCACCAGCAUGAUAUCAUUGAUCAUUCCUCCCAAAGACCAGAUUUCACGAGUGGCAAAAAUGUUAGCAGAUGAGUUUGGAACUGCAUCUAACAUUAAGUCACGAGUAAACCGCCUUUCAGUCCUGGGAGCCAUUACAUCUGUACAACAAAGACUCAAACUUUAUAACAAAGGUAAUCUGGAACUGGAUCAUUUUGUUCUCUGCUUUAUCUUGGUUGCAUCUUCCACUCGGAUUCUGACAUGGUGAUUUAUUCACUAAGUUUUCCUGCAGCCAGCCAUCAUCAAUGUCUCCAUAGCAUUGCUGUUUAACUUUUUUAUUUAUAGAAAGUUAACUUUACUUGAAGGAAUAAAUUCUACUGAAAUACCUCAGGAGAAUUUUUAAAUUUAGGAGAGAGUUCUGAGAGAUUUAAGGAUAUUUCUGCUUUAUUUAAAUUUUUGACUGGGAACAUUUAAAGUAGAGAAAUUGUUUGUUAUUUGCAGUACCUCCAAAUGGUCUGGUUGUUUACUGUGGAACAAUUGUAACAGAAGAAGGAAAGGAAAAGAAAGUCAACAUUGAUUUUGAACCUUUCAAACCAAUUAAUACGUCAUUGUAUUUGUGUGACAACAAAUUCCACACAGAGGUAAGAGUUUGAACACUUGGGUUGU